GACGAACGCUGGCGGCGUGCUUAACACAUGCAAGUCGAGCGGUAAGGCCCUUUCGGGGGUACGACGAGCGGCGAACGGGUGAGUAACACGUGGGUGACCUGCCCUCAGCUCUGGGAUAAGCCUGGGAAACUGGGUCUAAUACUGGAUAUGACUCCACGGUGCAUGUCGUGGGGUGGAAAGCCUUGUGCGGCUGAGGAUGGGCCCGCGGCCUAUCAGCUUGUUGGUGGGGUGAUGGCCUACCAAGGCGACGACGGGUAGCCGGCCUGAGAGGGCGACCGGCCACACUGGGACUGAGACACGGCCCAGACUCCUACGGGAGGCAGCAGUGGGGAAUCUUGCGCAAUGGGCGAAAGCCUGACGCAGCGACGCCGCGUGAGGGAGUGACGGCC
rnacentral:rRNA from 1 species